GACAGAGGGUGCAAACGUUGUUCGGAGUUACUGGGCGUAAAGCGCACGCAGGCGGCUGGGCGCGUGUGGGGUGAAAGCCGCGAGCUUAACUCGCGGUCGCCCCCGCAUACGGCUCGGCUCGAGCCCGGGAGAGGUCCCUCGAAUUGCCGGUGUAGUGGUGAAAUGCGUAGAGAUCGGCAGGAAGACCAAGGGGGAAGCCAGGGGACUGGCCCGCGGCUGACGCUCAGGUGCGAGAGCGUGGGGAGCGAACCGG
rnacentral:rRNA from 1 species